UAAAAAUCAAUUAACCACUAAACUUGGCGGUUAUAAUUUUUUAAAGAAACUCGGUUUAUAAUCGAUAACACUCGUUAAUUUUUACUUUAUUUUAUACAAUUUAUAUACCGCCGUUAACUUAAAGAAAUAAAAACAAACAAAUCUCCAAAUCGAAAAUUCACAAAAAUCAGGUCAAGGUGUAAUACACGAAAAAGAAAAAAUAAGUUACAUAUAAACACAAUUUAAGGAAUUUUAAUUAAAAUAAACAAGAAAAAGAAUUUAUAA
rnacentral:rRNA from 1 species